AGGGAAUGAAGUUCUCCCUUGAUAUUUAUCAAAACCGCUUAUUAUAGCUAAUGACUUCUACAACU
rnacentral:ncRNA from 1 species